UAACUCUGGCAGUGUAGACUCAAUUCUGAUCCAACUAAGCUUCCUAAGGGGUAUUGUGCUCUAGGAGGCUUAGUUUGGUCAGAAUUGAGUCUAUGCUGCCAGAGCUA